CAGAGGGUAGUUUAAGUAGAAUAUUAAUUUUGGGGAUUAAUGGUAAGGCUUGCCUUUCCUCUGA
rnacentral:tRNA from 1 species